rnacentral:lncRNA from 1 species
GCAUAUGUAUAUGUGCAUGAUGUUAUAUAUUUACAAAUAUAUCAUAAAUAUAAUAAAAUGCUUGUAUAUAAAACUUGCUCAUGUUUAUAGAUACACAUUCUUAUAUACGAUUUUAUACGUAUAAAACACAUAUGUACACGUAUAUACAUGAGCAUGUUUAUUAUUAAAUAAGACUAUGAGACGUUUGUGGGUUAUAUUGGUUAAGUUCACCUAAAACGAGCAGAGUUGACAAAUUUCCUUUCUGCACAAAAACUAAUCCUGCAAAUCCACAUGGAGGGAUACAGGGGAAAGUGAUUUGCUGAUUUCCUUUCCAACCUAGUCGAUCCAUUAAGGAUGCAACUGCAACUAACGUGGCUUGGCAAAAUGUAGGCAAUCUCAGGCAGAAAAACCGCUGGGCAGCGUGCCAGGAAUGGAGUUCCAUACGCCUGCGCAGUGGGGCCCCUAACGGUGGGCGGAGCCCAGCCCUCCACAUGGGCUUCCACGGUUGCUGGGAGCUCCGUUGUCUCGGUCUCCCGGCUUCGCCCUCAAGUGUCCCCCGGGCUUCCCAGUCGCAUGGCGGUGUGCUCCAGAAGAUGCCUCUGAAACCCGCCGUCCUUCUUGCCGCCACGCUGCUGCUCUGGCCUAUACCUACCCGGGUACACCCCUAUGCAAAGGAACCUUACACUGAAGGAGAAUCAUCUGCUCCAGCUGUGAUAUCAGCUAUAGGUCCAGAUAUGGAGCUAGCAGUGAAGCUGGAUCUAGAACCAGUUCUGAUGCUAGAUGUGAAAUCUCUGGAGCCAGAGGCAAAACCAAUGAUAUCAGCUAUAAAACAACCGAGACCACUUAAGAAUCCAGCUAUGCCAUCAUUCUUGAAAGCCCUGGACUCAGGCUCAGAACCAAUCAUAAAGAAGCAAGCUACAACACCAUGUGGGAAGGGAAGACCACCUGUAACACAAACUACAAAAUCACAUCAGACACUGGUGGUGAUACCCACUCGAAAGAUACCUGGAGAGUCAACGUCUAUGAAAUCAACUCAGGGGCUAGGUGGGAGAGUGAUACUAAAACCCACUAGAGAAAUACCUGGAGUGUCAACCUCUAUGCAGUCAAUUGUGGGGUCAGGUGGGAGACUGGUGAUAAAACCCACUCGAGAGAUACCUGGAGAGUCAACAUCUACGAAGUCAAUGUCUAUGAAAACAACUCCUGAACCAAGUGGGGAACUGGGGCUAAAAUUCACUUUAGAGAUACCUGGAGAGCAAACGUCUAUUAAGCCAAAGGUGGGGCCAGGUGAGAGAGUGAAGCUAAAACCCACUGGAGAGUUACGUAGAGAGCCAACAUCUAUGAAACCAACUCAGAGGCCAAGUGGGACAGUGACGUUGAAACCCACACCAGAGCUACCUAAGGAGCCAACGUCUAUGAAACCAAUUAAAGAGCUAAACCUGCCUCUGGAAAACCAUGGGAAAUUGAAAGUAUUUGCAGAAAUAGAUAACUCUGUAUUCCAACUUAAACAAGUUGUAAGAGCACAACUUAUGAUGGUAGACACAUUAACAAAGAACAAUUCAAAGUCACAGUCAAACUCUUUGGCAACAGGGAAAUAUGAACCAUUGAAAAACCAAUUAGGGUAUAAAAAUAUGAUUGAAGAUCAAAUUUUGAAAAGUGUUUUAGAGACUAACAAGUUGAUAAAACAUGCUCUUGUGAAUACUAAACAGAACACUGAAUUAAAAAAUAAUGUGGAUUCUACUAAAGAAUCUCUAGUUCCAAACCUUUUUUCAGAAGCAGCAGAUUUAUCACAGAAGAAAUUAAAUAAACCACAGAAAAUAAGAGAAAGUGAUGAUAAUAAAGACAUUGCAUUGUUUAUUAAUUUUUUAUAUGAUAUUAAGGCAGAACUAAGUAUAUAUUUAAAUAUCAAUAAUAUUCCAUUAGAUAUUCGUGAUAAGGCUGCUACUUUAUUCACCAUUAUGGGAGAUAUAUUUUGUAAAAAUGAACAAAGAAGAAGAAUAAUUAAGAUAUUAUUAAAAGAUAAUUUAAGAAUGUUAAACAUACUUAACUCUCUAUUGCAUUAAUGACUAGGUUUUCAGUGACCUAUUCAUUUCUAAGAGAAACAUUUAAAUUUAUUCGCUAAAAUUUUAUAACUGGAUUUUGUAUUGUGUCUAUUAACAUCUAUAAUUUGUCAUGUAAUUUGAAAGAUUUCAAACAAAUAAUUAAAACAUACUAAUUUGAAUACAAUUUGUUUUUAGUAGAGUUUGUGAUGUCAUUUCCAUACCUCCCAAAUUUGUUGCCUUUUGUGUUUAAAAUAUUUCCUUUAUUUUAUGCAUGAGUAGAUUUGCUUAGUUUAAAAUAUACAUUUAUCUAGAUUAACAUUUUAUAAAUUUAUUUUAUAGAAAAGGCAUGUUUUGUGUGGAUUAUAUGUAUACACAUAUAU